AUGUGGGAUUUCUAAGACAACUAGGAUGUUGGCUUAGAAGCAGCCACUCAUUUAAAGAGUGCGUAAUAGCUCACUAGUCGAGAGAUCCUGCGCCGAAGAUGUAACGGGGCUCAAACUUACCACCGAAGCUAUGGAUGUGUACUAUGUACACGUGGUAGAGGAGCUUUCUGUACAGGUUGAAGUCAUACCGUAAGGAGUGGUGGACAGUACAGAAGUGAGAAUGCUGGCAUAAGUAGCGAAAAACAAGUGAGAAUCUUGUUGACCGAAUAUCUAAGGUUUCCUGGGGAAGGCUCGUCCUCCCAGGGUUAGUCGGGACCUAAGCCGAGGCCGAAAGGCGUAGGUGAUGGACAACUGGUUGAUAUUCCAGUACCACCAUAAUGCGUUUGACAAAUGGGAUGACGCAGGAGGAUAGGAUGUGCGCACUAUUGGAUGUGCGUCUAAGCACUUAGGGUGUUAAGUAGGCAAAUCCGCUUAACAUUAAGCCUGAGGGGUGAUGGGGAGCCUAUUUUGGCGAAGUAUCUGAUUCCACGCUGCCAAGAAAAGUCUCUAUGGAGCAAAAUGGUGCCCGUACCGCAAACCGACACAGGUAGAUGAGGAGAGAAUCCUAAGGUCGUCGGAAGAAUUAUUGCUAAGGAACUCGGCAAAUUGACCCCGUAACUUAGGGAGAAGGGGUGCCUACGAGAGUAGGCCGCAGUGAAUAGGCUCAAGCAACUGUUUAUCAAAAACACAGG
rnacentral:rRNA from 1 species